CUCGUUACCUGGCAGGGAAGAUGCCAUGAUCGUGAAUGUGGCUCACUUAGGUUGAGGCUCAGUCACUGCACUGCGGUUUUGCUGACCCCUGCCAAUUCCCCUGAUGCGGCGUUCUUGACGGCAUCGGUUCGGCUGGCAGCACGGUGGCUCAGUGGUUAGCACUAUU